rnacentral:rRNA from 1 species
AACGAACGCUGGCGGCGUGCUUCAUACAUGCAAGUCGUGCGAGAACGCUCUCUUCGGAGAGUUAUUAAAGCGGCAAACGGGUGAGUAACACGUGGGAAAUCUGCCCUUCGGCGGAGGACACGCCCUCGAAAGGGGGUCUAAUACUGCGUAACAUAUUGAGAUCGCAUGGUCUCAUUAUCAAAGCAGCAAUGCACCGGAGGAUGAUCCCGCGUCUGAUUAGCUUGUUGGUAGGGUAACGGCCUACCAAGGCGACGAUCAGUAGCCGGCCUGAGAGGGUGAACGGCCACACUGGGACUGAGAUACGGCCCAG